rnacentral:rRNA from 1 species
AUUGAACGCUGGCGGCAGGCCUAACACAUGCAAGUCGAGCGGAGCGGCGGACGGGUGAGUAAUGCCUAGGAAUCUGCCUGGUAGUGGGGGAUAACGUCCGGAAACGGGCGCUAAUACCGCAUACUAUCAGAUGAGCCUCGGUCGGAUUCGCUAGUUGGUGGGGUAAAGGCCUACCAAGGCGACGAUGCGUAAGUGGUCUGAGAGGAUGAUCAGUCACACUUGGACUGGGACACGGUACAGACUCCUACGGGAGGCGGCAGUGGGGAAUAUUGGACAAGGGGCGAGAGCCUGUUCCAGCCAGGCCGCGUGUGUGAAGAAGGUCUUCGGAUUGUAAAACACUUUAAGUUGGGAGGCGUUACCAACAGAAUAAGCACCGGCUAACUUCGUGCCAGCAGCCGCGGUAAUAC